UUAAAUUGAAGAGUUUGAUCAUGGCUCAGAUUGAACGCUGGCGGCAGGCCUAACACAUGCAAGUCGAACGGUAACAGGAAACAGCUUGCUGUUUCGCUGACGAGUGGCGGACGGGUGAGUAAUGUCUGGGAAACUGCCUGAUGGAGGGGGAUAACUACUGGAAACGGUAGCUAAUACCGCAUAACGUCGCAAGACCAAAGAGGGGGACCUUCGGGCCUCUUGCCAUCGGAUGUGCCCAGAUGGGAUUAGCUAGUAGGUGGGGUAACGGCUCACCUAGGCGACGAUCCCUAGCUGGUCUGAGAGGAUGACCAGCCACACUGGAACUGAGACACGGUCCAGACUCCUACGGGAGGCAGCAGUGGGGAAUAUUGCACAAUGGGCGCAAGCCUGAUGCAGCCAUGCCGCGUGUAUGAAGAAGGCCUUCGGGUUGUAAAGUACUUUCAGCGGGGAGGAAGGGAGUAAAGUUAAUACCUUUGCUCAUUGACGUUACCCGCAGAAGAAGCACCGGCUAACUCCGUGCCAGCAGCCGCGGUAAUACGGAGGGUGCAAGCGUUAAUCGGAAUUACUGGGCGUAAAGCGCACGCAGGCGGUUUGUUAAGUCAGAUGUGAAAUCCCCGGGCUCAACCUGGGAACUGCAUCUGAUACUGGCAAGCUUGAGUCUCGUAGAGGGGGGUAGAAUUCCAGGUGUAGCGGUGAAAUGCGUAGAGAUCUGGAGGAAUACCGGUGGCGAAGGCGGCCCCCUAGACGAAGACUGACGCUCAGGUGCGAAAGCGUGGGGAGCAAACAGGAUUAGAUACCCUGGUAGUCCACGCCGUAAACGAUGUCGACUUGGAGGUUGUGCCCUUGAGGCGUGGCUUCCGGAGCUAACGCGUUAAGUCGACCGCCUGGGGAGUACGGCCGCAAGGUUAAAACUCAAAUGAAUUGACGGGGGCCCGCACAAGCGGUGGAGCAUGUGGUUUAAUUCGAUGCAACGCGAAGAACCUUACCUGGUCUUGACAUCCACGGAAGUUUUCAGAGAUGAGAAUGUGCCUUCGGGAACCGUGAGACAGGUGCUGCAUGGCUGUCGUCAGCUCGUGUUGUGAAAUGUUGGGUUAAGUCCCGCAACGAGCGCAACCCUUAUCCUUUGUUGCCAGCGGUCCGGCCGGGAACUCAAAGGAGACUGCCAGUGAUAAACUGGAGGAAGGUGGGGAUGACGUCAAGUCAUCAUGGCCCUUACGACCAGGGCUACACACGUGCUACAAUGGCGCAUACAAAGAGAAGCGACCUCGCGAGAGCAAGCGGACCUCAUAAAGUGCGUCGUAGUCCGGAUUGGAGUCUGCAACUCGACUCCAUGAAGUCGGAAUCGCUAGUAAUCGUGGAUCAGAAUGCCACGGUGAAUACGUUCCCGGGCCUUGUACACACCGCCCGUCACACCAUGGGAGUGGGUUGCAAAAGAAGUAGGUAGCUUAACCUUCGGGAGGGCGCUUACCACUUUGUGAUUCAUGACUGGGGUGAAGUCGUAACAAGGUAACCGUAGGGGAACCUGCGGUUGGAUCACCUCCUUACCUUAAAGAAGC
rnacentral:rRNA from 1 species